UUUUUUUUUAUUGAUUCUCACGAUUACAAAAUGCAGGAUCUCCAGGAUUAGUAAUGGUCAUUGCGAACUUUAGAAAUCGAAGAACGAAGGGAAUGACUGGCUGACUCAUGGACUUGCUUUUCUGAAAUGAAGAAUCGACAAGGCACAAUACUGUUGUCUGAGGAGGUAAAAUGUCACAAGCGUAGCAGGAGGCAACCAACAGAAGGAUGGAUCUUUGCUCUUGAGAAGUUGGGCUCCUGCAAUCUUCCUCACAAAUCAUCCCAUUAUCGGAAUGACACGGAGAAGAUGCAUCUGAAUCCCAUCUUUUCGCAUUCCAUUGCGAAAUAAUGUUUGAUCAUCAUCAGGAGGAAAUAUUGGUUUCACUCUGCUGCACUGCUUGCAAAUUUUGAUCAUGCACCAAGCAUAAUGAACGGAUAAAAAAGAUGGUGGCCUCAAAACUUGCUUUCUGUCAGCAAUCAGUUCAUGUGAUCUUCCCAGGGGUCGUGUACUGCAUGCAGCCCCAUCACCCUUUUCUAUCCCAACACACAAGGUGGGUGGGCGCACUUCCUUGUCUCCGUCGCCGUCUCAUCUCAUCUGCCGCUUUGUGACUUGCAAGCAAAUGCCACAAUCGAAGCUUAAGAUUACAUUAACUCAUCGAACAAGGUGUUUGCUGUUCUAAGGUCAAUGCACUGAAGAAGUACAGGUCAACAUACUUCCAUCUGUUCUUUAAGUGAUACAAUUGGGAUUCUUCUUCUGAUCACACAACUCAUCUUUGAAGGUGAUCAAUCAACUGCUAUAAUACUCGCAUGCAUCAUGCUAACAUCGAUGUGAAUCAAACAAUCUACACUGUGUUAUCAAA